rnacentral:lncRNA from 1 species
CUGCCUUGUCGGAAAAAGAUUCAAGUGGUGGUUCCGACUUAUUUGAGGAGCUCAUGUGAAGGUGUCUCAUCCAUUUCUAUGGAUCCAGUUAGCUUCAUGAAGGUUCAGGGAAGGUGAUGGAGUGUUUUUGUUGUGUUGAAAAUGGCUCAAAGGUUCCAACCGAAUGCUCUAUUUUUUAGGGAAGUGAAGUGUCAUUUUUGCAGUGUUUCAAUGGCUGUAAAGCUUGGUUAUUUGGAGGGAGAAGGAUGCUCUAUAUAUAAG